rnacentral:lncRNA from 1 species
AUUUGUCUCAUCAACAUCAUCAGCACAUAUUGAAAAGUACACCUAUAAACUUGUCAUUUUUUUGAGAGAAUACAUGUAAUCCCCUUUGUCAAAUAUGAGGCAUUGAAAAAAUACCCAAUAAUAGUGUGACAAUACUGUAACUAAUCGCCCAACCAGCUCCAGCCGGUCAUGACGCAUGCAUGUCUUUGUCGCUGUGAUGUAAAGCUUGACAAGAAUAAAGAAAACUGAGAAUAUCAUGGUGCCUGCUAUUCCUAGCAGCAAGAGUAUAUAUAUACUUCCCAAACCAAAUAGUUGAAGUUGGAACUGUUUCACCUAAAUUAAAUAACCUCCAACCACCUCGAGCCGGUCAUGAUGCAUGCAUGUUUUUUUCGUUUGAAUAGCCUGCAAGGUAUCAUCAGUUAUUUGUGAAUAUGUCAAAAGCUAAUAACUGACCUAUUUGUGAAGAUGUAAAAAGCUAACAACUGACCUAACAUAACUAUUGUAUUCCGAAGCUUGUUAAAAUCAACAAACUGAAAGCAAACCAAAUACAUUUAUUAUGAAUGGAAUAUUUUGCCUGAUCCAUGAACAGGUUGAAUAAUUUGUCAAUUAGGCUCGGGUGACCAGCCAAUAUGCUUGAGGAAUUACACCUGCAUUAGUCAAACAAACACACAGAUUUAGAUUCACAAGACCAAUUUACUCAAUGAAACAAAACAAUGUCUAAAUACUCUUAACUUGGUAGUCCUGGAUAAAAAUAAUGAUCUUGUUCUUAGUCGAUGUACUACAACACAUGAAAAUAGGCCAAACCAAUGAAUGGAUGCCCACAGAAAGAACGCAGAAAUCUCCAAAUUUCUGCCCACUCAAUUUAUAAAAUAACUAAUGCAGCUAGCAGACAUACCUCUCAACAUUCCUACCAUAGCCUCUAUAAGCUGGAAUUCUAGGAGUAUUGGUUAUUUUCAUAUGUUACAACCUGUUAUUUUUCCUCAACGCUGCAACAACACCACACCAUGCAAAUAUAAUUUAACAUAUGUAAAGUGAAAAAAACUGCAUGUGUCCUGUAAACGUGCCGCUUCAAAUGUACCGAAUCAAGCAUCGCUUCAGGUCAUCCAGCUCAGAGAAAAGCUGUUGUACCAUUACACAGAAGUAACUCACAAAAUGUCUGGCUUAAUCAGAAUAAGGAUGGCCUAAAUAGCUCACAAAAUAAAUGAUAGAGCUUGACAGAAAAUAUAUUUAAUUUAAUUUGAAGAGAGGUCAAAAAUCUGGAAUCAGCUUCCGUCAUGGAAAGGGGAUUUCAGUUAUGAACACAAUGUACAUACAUGAGAAAAAAACAUAGAACCAGUGAUAACUUAGUGAGGAGCCAAUCAUGAAACCAGUGAAUUAGUAUGAAGAUAUUGAAUUUGCAACAAAUUAGAAAUAGAUACAGCAGCCAAGGAAAAACAUCCUAGAAGCGAAAGUUGGCCUUACAUUAGAAAAUAGACACAUUUUGCACAGCAAAGAAAAUUAGAUCUACUGAUCUCCACUGCCAUAUUCUUUUUUUUCUUAAACAUGUCCACUGUCACAUGUUUCUUAUAAUGCAUGAAAGAAGUAGAAAGAGAUAUAGCAUAUAUCGAAGAUCAAAAAUGCUGGGGAGAGGGAAAGAAAAAAAGUACUUCAAUACAUCCCCAAUAUACUUUCAAUCAAAACACCNNNNNNNNNNUUUAUCACCUUUUGGUUGUUUCAGUUUUCCUGGGUUCAGAUGCAGGCGCUGGUUCGAUUCCAAGCCAAGAACUCGGGAACCUCGACCGCUGGGAGUGGGAUACCUUACAAUUUAUACUAGAGAACUAUAUUUCGGAUCUGUUUGUGAGGCACAAGAUAAAAGAAUCGGACAUAGUUUGUGCAAUCUUACCGCCAAAAGAAUAAAAAACACUUGCAAAUGUAGUAGUACAACUCUUCCACCGACAGAUCAUAUGUUGUAGAGCGGUUGUGCAAAGGGACGCGCUGGUGUAGAAUUCUUGUCACGCUGACACAUCUAAUGGCCGCACAAUGCUGCUGAUGCACGCAGGAGACCCGAUGCUGGUGAUGAGGGACGCGCUGCUGUGGCAGCUCCAGAAGGACCGCCUUCGCCAGGAGAUCAUCGUGGCCGAGCUGGCCAAGAUAGAGCGUGCCAUGGCCCUGCAUACCACUGGAGUUUCUGUUUAUACUUUAGAGGCUUCCCUUACAAUUUUCAUUAAAAAAAUGACACCAUGAUACGAAUCUGAAAAGACAGUGUAAAUAAUCAUAAUUUUCUGUGGUGAUAGAAUAUAUUAUGAUGAGCUACUUUGCAAAAACAAUAGUAUUUGGGGGUGUAAAUUGCUAAAACAAAUCUCAUNNNNNNNNNNAUUUUUUCGAUAGAAUAAUAGGAAAUCCAUAAAAAUGUAUGAUGGCAUAAAACACACACAACCAAUUCCCAAAAAAUGGAAGGACACACUCUGAACUACAAAUAAUCAAAUAACACAAUGACAUAUUUUCUAAGUCAUUCAGCAGCCAGGUUGAGCUACCGGCUAUUUUUUUGCACUAAAAUGAAACAAAUUUAAUUCUAACAAACGGAUGUGAAACCUCUUUUACCGGGAAGGAUUGCCAUAGUCCGGAGAUGGAGACAAACAAAGAUGGUUUUCCCGUCUCAUCAACAUUUUUUUUAGAACGAAGGCUCGCGAUGAGCCCGGCUUUGAAUUAACGAAGCCAUCAACCGGCCAGGAAUUACAACACCACAUCAAGCACAUCGGCCGAAUGAUACAAGGGAGCACCCUAGGAAACUUACAACUCAACGCAGUAUACAAGCUCACAACAUAAAGAAGAGAAAGCCCAAGCUAGUACACGCCGCAGACCGCAGCAACCAAGAACCAAGGAUUGCGACCAACAUGAACACGACGAGGACCUGCCAAAACAGAGUGGAGUUGUGGACAUGACUGAGUCCAAGGUUGGAGGAAACAAAUCAUCUUCCUUUGCUCUCGCCGUAGAGGGACCCUACCCUCUCGCCUUGGAUCGAAAGGCGCCGCCGACGGACAUGAGAGACACUCUCCCUAGAGCAGGAGAGAUGUCGACCUCGAGUCCUGGAACAGGCACAGAGCACACCUCCUAGGACAUAAGCACACCUCGUAUGACACACCGGCGCAACCAAGGACCCCUGAAAGACAGCGGGAAAGCCACCGGGAGCAGCCACUGAAGAACGAGCAGCAAGGACAUCAGGAGAGGUCGCAGAGCGACGAGGGCGAGCCGGACCUCCCCAUAGCCACCUGAGAACCAUAGCCNNNNNNNNNNAAAUAUAUUUAAUUUAAUUUGAAGAGAGGUCAAAAAUCUGGAAUCAGCUUCCGUCAUGGAAAGGGGAUUUCAGUUAUGAACACAAUGUACAUACAUGAGAAAAAAACAUAGAACCAGUGAUAACUUAGUGAGGAGCCAAUCAUGAAACCAGUGAAUUAGUAUGAAGAUAUUGAAUUUGCAACAAAUUAGAAAUAGAUACAGCAGCCAAGGAAAAACAUCCUAGAAGCGAAAGUUGGCCUUACAUUAGAAAAUAGACACAUUUUGCACAGCAAAGAAAAUUAGAUCUACUGAUCUCCACUGCCAUAUUCUUUUUUUUCUUAAACAUGUCCACUGUCACAUGUUUCUUAUAAUGCAUGAAAGAAGUAGAAAGAGAUAUAGCAUAUAUCGAAGAUCAAAAAUGCUGGGGAGAGGGAAAGAAAAAAAGUACUUCAAUACAUCCCCAAUAUACUUUCAAUCAAAACACCCAGCUCUAACAUGAAAAAAGAUGUUAUUGACCAAUCUGCAGCUGUAUAGUGAGUUGGUAAUCAAUUAUUUGGAGAACAGAGACAUUAGACUUUUUUGCUACAGAAUACAGGUAUCGGAAAUAUAUGUCCUCACAAACGUCCUGAUAUCUGAUUGACAUCGACCAAAUCCAAAAGAUACAUCAGAAAGCUAUGUCUAGUCGUGAGCAGUGAGGAUUACAGGGUUAGAAUAUCUGAAUAUUUAGGAGGAUAAAUACCCGAAGAUAUCAUAUUUUUCACAUCAUAUCUGGUGAACACUGACAUCAUAUCGGCAAUUCAUCAAACAGUUCAAGUGCAAAGGCUAAAGCGCCAUCUCAACAGAAAGAAAUUGGAAAUAUGGUAGUUGUAGAGNNNNNNNNNNAUUUUUUCGAUAGAAUAAUAGGAAAUCCAUAAAAAUGUAUGAUGGCAUAAAACACACACAACCAAUUCCCAAAAAAUGGAAGGACACACUCUGAACUACAAAUAAUCAAAUAACACAAUGACAUAUUUUCUAAGUCAUUCAGCAGCCAGGUUGAGCUACCGGCUAUUUUUUUGCACUAAAAUGAAACAAAUUUAAUUCUAACAAACGGAUGUGAAACCUCUUUUACCGGGAAGGAUUGCCAUAGUCCGGAGAUGGAGACAAACAAAGAUGGUUUUCCCGUCUCAUCAACAUUUUUUUUAGAACGAAGGCUCGCGAUGAGCCCGGCUUUGAAUUAACGAAGCCAUCAACCGGCCAGGAAUUACAACACCACAUCAAGCACAUCGGCCGAAUGAUACAAGGGAGCACCCUAGGAAACUUACAACUCAACGCAGUAUACAAGCUCACAACAUAAAGAAGAGAAAGCCCAAGCUAGUACACGCCGCAGACCGCAGCAACCAAGAACCAAGGAUUGCGACCAACAUGAACACGACGAGGACCUGCCAAAACAGAGUGGAGUUGUGGACAUGACUGAGUCCAAGGUUGGAGGAAACAAAUCAUCUUCCUUUGCUCUCGCCGUAGAGGGACCCUACCCUCUCGCCUUGGAUCGAAAGGCGCCGCCGACGGACAUGAGAGACACUCUCCCUAGAGCAGGAGAGAUGUCGACCUCGAGUCCUGGAACAGGCACAGAGCACACCUCCUAGGACAUAAGCACACCUCGUAUGACACACCGGCGCAACCAAGGACCCCUGAAAGACAGCGGGAAAGCCACCGGGAGCAGCCACUGAAGAACGAGCAGCAAGGACAUCAGGAGAGGUCGCAGAGCGACGAGGGCGAGCCGGACCUCCCCAUAGCCACCUGAGAACCAUAGCCGCCCAAAACUCCACCUUUGUCGCCCCUCACCCGAACGCACGCUCCCCAGGCGGCACCUCCAAGGAGGACACGACGCGCAGCACGCUGUCACCGCCCAAUCCAAGAAGGAUUUUGGGCUUUCACCGGGAGGGGAACGGGGGUGGAUUGGGUGGGACCUCGGCUGCACCUUCAAUGAGGAAGGGCGGCGCCCAAGGGCGUCGCUGCCGCCGGACCGGAACAGCCGACCGAUGGUUUCCCACGGUCCCAAAACCACACCACCAGGCACCCAUCCACGCCUAUCCGGCGACCGAAGCUGCUGAAACCGGCGAGGGUGAGGAGCCAAAGGGAAGGGGAGCCGAACCUCAGAUCUGGCGGGGGGUCUCCACGCCACAGCCACCACCCGCCGCCGUCCCACCACCUGCCUGGUCGGGAACACCGGCCGAGAUCCCCCGCGGAUGCCGCCAGCCGGGGGGACGCCGCCGCCGCGCCAUGAAGGGCCGCCGCCCCAGAUCCGCCGUCCUCCUCCAGGAACGGAGCGAGCAGGGCCUCGCCGCCACCUUCACCGGCGACCGCGCAGNNNNNNNNNNACAUGAAAAAAGAUGUUAUUGACCAAUCUGCAGCUGUAUAGUGAGUUGGUAAUCAAUUAUUUGGAGAACAGAGACAUUAGACUUUUUUGCUACAGAAUACAGGUAUCGGAAAUAUAUGUCCUCACAAACGUCCUGAUAUCUGAUUGACAUCGACCAAAUCCAAAAGAUACAUCAGAAAGCUAUGUCUAGUCGUGAGCAGUGAGGAUUACAGGGUUAGAAUAUCUGAAUAUUUAGGAGGAUAAAUACCCGAAGAUAUCAUAUUUUUCACAUCAUAUCUGGUGAACACUGACAUCAUAUCGGCAAUUCAUCAAACAGUUCAAGUGCAAAGGCUAAAGCGCCAUCUCAACAGAAAGAAAUUGGAAAUAUGGUAGUUGUAGAGAGUGCCACGGCAGGUUAGCAUGGUCCAUACCUUUAGAUCGCUGCAGAGGUGCACGUAUAGGAGGGGUCGGGGCAUACACAUCCACAUGCUGCCAUUGUAGACACCGUAACCGGCCGUGCCUCCAUCAGCAAGUGACCGAUGCUAUUUCGAUCGCGCCAAAAGAUCAUAUGACGUAUGAUCGUACCUUGCUUGCCGGGGGCUCGACCGAGGUAGGAUCCAGCAACGGGGCAACCGAGAAGUUCAAACCCGGCGUAGAAAGAAGCUGGACCAGGCCUGCGGCGGCAACUCGCCCACCAUCUCCUUCUUGUGCUUGCGGUCUUUCGGAUCCUCGUGCGUGUCCGACGUGUACCCGCCGUCGGGGGUGCCUUUGUCGCUCGGUCGAGAGAGGGAUG